rnacentral:rRNA from 1 species
UACGAAGGGACCUAGCGUAGUUCGGAAUUACUGGGCUUAAAGAGUUCGUAGGUGGUUGAAAAAGUUGGUGGUGAAAUCCCAGAGCUUAACUCUGGAACUGCCAUCAAAACUUUUCAGCUAGAGUAUGAUAGAGGAAAGCAGAAUUUCUAGUGUAGAGGUGAAAUUCGUAGAUAUUAGAAAGAAUACCAAUUGCGAAGGCAGCUUUCUGGAUCAUUACUGACACUGAGGAACGAAAGCAUGGGUAGCGAAGAGGAUUAGAUACCCUCGUAGUCCAUGCCGUAAACGAUGUGUGUUAGACGUUGGAAAUUUAUUUUCAGUGUCGCAGCGAAAGCGAUAAACACACCGCCUGGGGAGUACGACCGCAAGGUUAAAACUCAAAUGAAUUGACGGGGACCCGCACAAGUAGUGGAGCAUGUGGUUUAAUUCGAAGAUACGCGCAGAACCUUACCAACACUUGACAUGUUCGUCGCGACUCUAAGAGAUUAGAGUUUUCGGUUCGGCCGGACGAAACACAGGUGCUGCAUGGCUGUCGUCAGCUCGUGUCGUGAGAUGUUGGGUUAAGUCCCGCAACGAGCGCAACCCUCACUUUUAGUUGCCAUCAUUAAGUUGGGCACUCUGAAAGAACUGCCAGUGAUAAGCUGGAGGAAGGUGGGGAUGACGUCAAGUCCUCAUGGCCCUUACGUGUUGGGCUACACACGUGCUACAAUGGUAUCUACAACAGGAAGCAAGACGGCGGCGUUAAGCAAAUCCUUAAAAGAUACCUCAGUUCGGAUUGCACUCUGCAACUCGAGUGCAUGAAGCUGGAAUUACUAGUAAUCGUGGAUCAGCGUGCCACGGUGAAUGCGUUCCCGGGUCU